CCCUUAGAUGUUCUGGGCCGCACGCGCGCUACACUGAUGCAUUCAACGAGUUUCUUCCUGGUCCGAGAGGAAUGGGUAACCUUUUGAAAGUGCAUCGUGAUAGGGAUAGACUAUUGCAAUUAUUGGUCUUCAACGAGGAAUUCCUAGUAGACGUAGUUCAUCAGACUGCAUCGAUUACGUCCCUGCCCUUUGUACACACCGCCCGUCGCUCCUACCGAUUGAAUGCUCAGGUGAUCCAUUCGGACUUUCAUCAUGCUGGUUUCCAGUUUUGAUGAAGGAAAGUCUUGCGAACCUUAUCAUUUAGAGGAAGGAGAAGUCGUAACA
rnacentral:rRNA from 1 species